rnacentral:rRNA from 1 species
CGCGGUGUGCACAAAGGGGGUACGGUGCGUAUCUUGAAUGUCAAAACGACUCUCGGCAACGGAUAUCUCGGCUCUCGCAUCGAUGAAGAACGUAGCGAAAUGCGAUACUUGGUGUGAAUUGCAGAAUCCCGUGAACCAUCGAGUCUUUGAACGCAAGUUGCGCCCGAAGCCUUCGGGCC